CAGGGAGACAACAAAAUGUUUAAUAUUAUUAUUUUGUCACCUUAGGUCGAUCGGUAUCUCACGUUCUUAAUUCAGUAAGAAUUUCAUUUCCUAAGUUUUUCUAGGUCACACCCAUUAUUUUUCCUGGGCCAUUAGCUCAGGUGGUUAGAGCGCACCCCUGAUAAGGGUGAGGUCCCUGGUUCAAGUCCAGGAUGGCCCAUAUCUCUAUGUUGGGGGUAUAGCUCAGUUGGUAGAGCGCCUGCUUUGCAAGCAGGAUGUCAGCGGUUCGAGUCCGCUUACCUCCACUGAUUACCACCUCUUCCAUAAUCUGUAGAAAAGGAAAUUUUUUGAGUUGUGAUCAAGUUCUGAACGAAUCUAGCUUCCUAAUGAACCCAUUAAGAUGCUGGACUCAUUGAAUUAAUUUCAUUGUUUUCAGAGAACCUUGACAACUGCAUAGAUUAUUUUUAAAGACAAUAAGCAUCUUUAAUGAUGCAGAUUUUUUAUUUGUGCGAAUGCAUUAAAUAACAAUUCUAUUAAGCUGAUGCUUCAAUUUUGAAGUUAUU
rnacentral:tRNA from 1 species